AUUGAACGCUGGCGGCAUGCCUUACACAUGCAAGUCGAACGGCAGCACGGGUGCUUGCCCCUGGUGGCGAGUGGCGAACGGGUGAGUAAUACAUCGGAACAUGUCCUGUAGUGGGGGAUAGCCCGGCGAAAGCCGGAUUAAUACCGCAUACGAUCCACGGAUGAAAGCGGGGGACCUUCGGGCCUCGCGCUAUAGGGUUGGCCGAUGGCUGAUUAGCUAGUUGGUGGGGUAAAGGCCUACCAAGGCGACGAUCAGUAGCUGGUCUGUGAGGACGACCAGCCACACUGGGACUGAGACACGGCCCAGACUCCUACGGGAGGCAGCAGUGGGGAAUUUUGGACAAUGGGCGAAAGCCUGAUCCAGCAAUGCCGCGUGUGUGAAGAAGGCCUUCGGGUUGUAAAGCACUUUUGUCCGGAAAGAAAUCCUUGGCUCUAAUACAGUCGGGGGAUGACGGUACCGGAAGAAUAAGCACCGGCUAACUACGUG
rnacentral:rRNA from 1 species